GACGAACGCUGGCGGCGUGCUUAACACAUGCAAGUCGUACGGUAAGGCCCUUUCGGGGGUGCACGAGUGGCGAACGGGUGGUUAACACGUGAGUAACCUGCCCACAACUUUGGGAUAACGCUAGGAAACUGGUGCUAAUCUUGGAUAUGUGCUCCUGCCACAUGGUGGGGGUUGGGAGGCUCCGGCGGUUGUGGAUGGCCUCGCGGCCUAUCAGCUUGUUGGUGGGGUAGUGGCCUACCAAGGGGGCGACGGGUAGCCGGCCUGAGAGGGUGACCGGCCACAUUGAGACUGAGAUACGGCCCAGACUCCGACGGGAGGCAGCAGUGGGGAAGAUUGCACAAGGGGCGCAAGCCUGAUGCAGCAGCGCCGCGUGCGGGAUGACGGCCUUCGGGUUGAAAACCGCGUUCAGCAGGGACGAAGCAGUUUGUGACGGUACCUGCAGAAGAAGCACCGGCUAACUACGUG
rnacentral:rRNA from 1 species